rnacentral:rRNA from 1 species
AACGAACGCUGGCGGCAUGCCUAACACAUGCAAGUCGAACGAGACCUUCGGGUCUAGUGGCGCACGGGUGCGUAACGCGUGGGAACCUGCCCUUAGGUUCGGAAUAACUCCCCGAAAGGGGUGCUAAUACCGGAUAAUGUCUUCGGACCAAAGAUUUAUCGCCUUUGGAUGGGCCCGCGUUGGAUUAGCUAGUUGGUAGGGUAAAAGCCUACCAAGGCGACGAUCCAUAGCUGGUCUGAGAGGAUGAUCAGCGACACUGGGACUGAGACACGGCCCAGACUCCUACGGGAGGGAGCAGUGGGGAAUAUAGGACAAUGGGCGAAAGCCUGAUCCAGCAAGGACGCGUGAGUGAUGAAGGCCUUAGGGUUGUAAAGCUCUUUUACCCGGGAUGAUAAUGACAGUACCGGGAGAAUAAGCUCCGGCUAACUCCGUG